AUUGAACGCUGGCGGCAGGCCUAACACAUGCAAGUCGAACGCGUGGCGUACGGGUGAGCCAUGUCUGGGAAACUGCCUUAUGGAGGGGGAUACCUACUGGAAACGGUAGCUAAUACCGCAUCCCAUCAGAUGUGCCCAGAUGGGAUUAGCUUGUUGGUGGGGUAACGGCUCACCAAGGCCACGAUCCCUAGCUGGUGUGAGCGGAUGACCAGCCACACUGGAACUGGGACACGGUCCAGACUCCGACGGGAGGCAGCGGUGGGGAAUAUUGCACAAGGGUGGCAAGCCUGAUGCAGCCAUGCGGCGUGUAGGAAGAAGGCCUGCGGGUUUAAAAGUACUUUCAGCGGGGAGGCGUUACCCGCAGAAGAGGCACCGGCUAACUCCGUGCCAGCCGCCGCGGUAAUUC
rnacentral:rRNA from 1 species